UACGUAGGGGGCAAGCGUUAUCCGGAUUUACUGGGUGUAAAGGGAGCGUAGACGGCGCUGCAAGUCCGGAGUGAAAGCCCAUGGCUUAACCAUGGUACUGCUCUGGAAACUGUGGAGCUUGAGUGCGGGAGGGGCAGGCGGAAUUCCUAGUGUAGCGGUGAAAUGCGUAGAUAUUAGGAGGAACACCAGUGGCGAAGGCGGCCUGCUGGGCUUUUACUGACGCUGAGGCUCGAAAGUGUGGGGAGCAAACAGG
rnacentral:rRNA from 1 species